UGUGGCGUAGCUCAGUUGGAAGAGCAUUGGGCUAGUAUUCCAAAGGUCGUAGGUUCGAAUCCCACCGUGGCCG